rnacentral:lncRNA from 1 species
AGCAGACAAUGUGGAUGUGACUGGGAGAAUCUACUGGGGGAGGAAGUAGACAAUGUGGAUGUGACUGGGAGAAUCUACUGGAGGAGGAAGUAGACAAUGUGGAUGUGACUGGGAGAAUCUACUGGGCAAGGAAGCAGACAAUGUGGAUGUGACUGGGAGAAUCUACUGGGGAAGGAAGUAGACAAUGUGGAUGUGACUGGGAGAAUCUACUGGGGAAGGAAGUAGACAAUGUGGAUGUGACUGGGAGAAUCUACUGGGGAAGGAAGUAGACAAUGUGGAUGUGACUGGGAGAAUCUACUGGGGAGGGAAGUAGACAAUGUGGAUGUGACUGGGAGAAUCUACUGUGGAGGAGGAAGUAGACAAUGUGGAUGUGACUGGGAGAAUCUACUGGAGGAGGAAGUAGACAAUGUGGAUGUGACUGGGAGAAUCUACUGGAGGAGGAAGUAGACAAUGUGGAUGUGACUGGGAGCAUCUACUGGAGGAGGAAGUAGACAAUGUGGAUGUGACUGGGAGAAUCUACUGGAGGAGGAAGUAGACGAUGUGGAUGUGACUGGGAGAAUCUACUGGAGGAUGAAGUAGACUAUGUGGAUGUGACUGGGAGAAUCUACUGAAGGAGGAAGCAGACAAUGUGGAUGUGACUGGGAGAAUCAACUGGAGGAGGAAGCAGACAAUGUGGAUGUGACUGGGAGAAUCUACUGGCGAAGGAAGCAGACAAUGUAGAUGUGACUUGUAGAAUCUACUGGGGAAUGAAGCAGACAAUGUGGAUGUGACUGGGAGAAUCUACUGGGGAAGGAAGCAGACAAUGUGGAUGUGACUGGGAGAAUCUACUGGAGGAGGAAGCAGACAAUGUGGAUGUGACUGGGAGAACCUACUGGAGGAGGAAGUAGACAAUGUGGAUGUGACUGGGAGAAUCUACUGGAGGAGGAAGUAGACUAUGUGGAUGUGAGUGGGAGAAUCUACUGGAGGAGGAAGUAGACAAUGUGGAUGUGACUGGUAGAAUCUACUGGAGGAGGAAGUAGACAAUGUGGAUGUGACUGGGAGAAUCUACUGGAGGAGGAAGUAGACAAUGUGGAUGAGACUGGGAGAAUCUACUGGGGGAGGAAGUAGACAAUGUGGAUGUGACUGGGAGAAUCUACUGUGGAAGGAAGCAGACAAUGUGGAUGUGACUGGGAGAAUCUACUGUGGAAGGAAGCAGACAAUGUGGAUGUGACUGGGAGAAUCUACUGAGGAAAGAAGUAGACAAUGUGGAUGUGACUUGGAGAAUCUACUGGAGGAGGAAGUAGACAAUGUGGAUGUGACUGGAAUAAUCUACUGGGGAAGGAUGUAGACAAUGUGGAUGUGACUGGGAGAAUCUACUGGGGAAGGAAGCAGACAAUGUGGAUGUGACUGGAAGAAUCUACUGGGGAAGGAAGUAGACAAUGUGGAUGUGACUUGGAGAAUCUACUGGAGGAGGAAGUAGACAAUGUGGAUGUGACUGGGAGAAUCUACUGUGGAAGGAAGCAGACAAUGUGGAUGUGACUGGGAGAAUCUACUGGGGAAGGAAGUAGACAAUGUGGAUGUGACUGGAAGAAUCUACUGGGGAAGGAUGUAGACAAUGUGGAUGUGACUUUGAGAAUCUACUGGGGAAGGAUGUAGACAAUGUGGAUGUGACUGGGAGAAUCUACUGGGGAAGGAAGCAGACAAUGUGGAUGUGACUGGGAGAAUCUACUGGAGGAGGAAGUAGACAAUGUGGAUGUGACUGGGAGAAUCUACUGUGGAAGGAAAUAGACAGUGUGGAUGUGACUGGGAGAAUCUACUGUGGGAGGAAGUAGACAAUGUGGAUGUGACUGGAAGAAUCUACUGGGGAAGGAAGCAGACAAUGUAGAUGUGACUUGGAGAAUCUACUGGGGAAGGAAGUAGACAAUGUGGAAGUGACUGGAAGAAUCUACUGGGGAAGGAAGUAGACAAUGUGGAUGUGACUUUGAGAAUCUACUGGGGAAGGAUGUAGACAAUGUGGAUGUGACUGGGAGAAUCUACUGGAGGAGGAAGCAGACAAUGUGGAUGUGACUGGGAGAAUCUACUGGAGGAGGAAGUAGACAAUGUGGAUGUGACUGGGAGAAUCUACUGUGGAAGGAAAUAGACAGUGUGGAUGUGACUGGGAGAAUCUACUGUGGAAGGAAAUAGACAAUGUGGAUGUGACUGGGAGAAUCUACUGGGGGAGGAAGUAGACAAUGUGGAUGUGACUGGGAGAAUCUACUGGAGGAGGAAGUAGACAAUGUGGAUGUGACUGGGAGAAUCUACUGGAGGAGGAAGUAGAUGAUGUGGAUGUGACUGGGAGAAUCUACUGGAGGAUGAAGUAGACUAUGUGGAUGUGACUGGGAGAAUCUACUGAAGGAGGAAGUAGACAAUGUGGAUGUGACUGGAAGAAUCAACUGGAGGAGGAAGCAGACAAUGUGGAUGUGACUGGAAGAAUCUACUGGGGAAGGAAGCAGACAAUGUAGAUGUGACUUGGAGAAUCUACUGGGGAAGGAAGCAGACAAUGUGGAUGUGACUGGGAGAAUCUACUGAGGAAGGAAGCAGACAAUGUGGAUGUGACUGGGAGAAUCUACUGGGGAAGGAAGCAGACAAUGUGGAUGUGACUGGGAGAAUCUACUGGAGGAGGAAGUAGACAAUGUGGAUGUGAGGGAAACAAUCUACUGGAGGAGGAAGUAGACUAUGUGGAUGUGACUGGGAGAAUCUACUGGAGGAGGAAGUAGACAAUGUGGAUGUGACUGGAAGAAUCUACUGGAGGAGGAAGUAGACAAUGUGGAUGUGACUGGGAGAAUCUACUGGAGGAGGAAGUAGACAAUGUGGAUGUGACUGGAAGAAUCUACUGGAGGAGGAAGUAGACAAUGUGGAUGUGACUGGGAGAAUCUACUGUGGAAGGAAGCAGACAAUGUGGAUGUGACUGGGAGAAUCUACUGUGGAAGGAAGCAGACAAUGUGGAUGUGACUGGGAGAAUCUACUGGGGAAAGAAGUAGACAAUGUGGAUGUGACUUGGAUGAUCUACUGGAGGAGGAAGUAGACAAUGUGGAUGUGACUGGAAUAAUCUACUGGGGAAGGAUGUAGACAAUGUGGAUGUGACUGGGAGAAUCUACUGGGGAAGGAAGCAGACAAUGUGGAUGUGACUGGAAGAAUCUACUGGGGAAGGAAGUAGACAAUGUGGAUGUGACUGGGAGAAUCUAUUGGAGGAGGAAGUAGACAAUAUGGAUGUGAGGGAAACAAUCUACUGGAGGAGGAAGUAGACUAUGUGGAUGUGAGGGGAACAAUAUACUGGUUACUGUACCAGCACCAACUCUCUCUCUCCUUCUGUGUGUGUGUGUGUGUGUGUGUGUGUGUGUGUGUGUGUGUGUGUGUGUGUGUGUGUGUGUGUGUGUGUGUGUGUGUGUGUGUGUGUGUGUGUGUGUGUGUGUGUGUGUGUGUGUGUGUGUGUGUGUAAGCGGAAAACUCCUCUUGCACAGUAACUUAUCCGCACAAUACUAUUUAACUUUUUUUAUCCUUUUGAGUUGUUUCUGUAAACUUUUUAAAACUCUUUAAUUGCAAGGCUAGGGGAAAAACAAAUGACAGGCAAAACUAUUGUAUUUAAAUUCCGAGAAUGUAAUGAAACAUAAAUGUAUAAUGCAUCUGGCUGGGGACACUGGAGUGUAGUGUGAAUAAUUAACAAUGUUAUAUUAUCCUGCUGUUAGAAACUCCUCAGCUAUCCUACUUUAAAAUGCUGCUGCUCAUUUCAUUGUGGAUCUGUUUUUUUCAUUAAAGCAUCAGGAAAAUAA